ACUCACAAUCCCACCAAGAUACUUACAGCCUCAUUAUCAAGAUGGUGAGCAUGAGAUGAUCAUCAAUUCUGAUCAUCAUGCUCAUCAAAUACCAUCCAUUGACAUGCAGAAAUUGCUUUCCCAACAAUCAACCAAUUCUGAAGCUGAACUAGCCAGGCUCCAUUUUGCUUGCAAAGAGUGGGGUUUUUUCCAGGUAAUUAAGUAAACUAGCUUUACCACUUAUAUCUUUCAUCAAAUAGUUCUGAUUGUUUUUCGCCCACGAGUUCGAAGAAUUUGUCGAUAAUCAUUUAUGGCUGGUUUACGUAACCCUAAUUAAAAAAUGAGAAAAUGAAUUGAGAAUGAAUCAGAAUCAAAUUCUUAUUGAAGUUGUUUACUUAAAUGUUAUGGAAUCAGAGUAUGAAUGAAAUUGAAUUCAUAUGAGUUAUUUACUAAUUCACUUGAAUCGGAAUAUAAAUCAAUAUGAUCAUUAAAAUGCCUUAUCUUUUUUAUUUUAUCUUUAUAUUUAUUUUUAAUAACAUUUCAAACAAUUAUUUUUAUUUGUUUGAUUAAAGUGGAGUUAAAAAACCCUAGCCAAAUCAUCUUCUCCGCAAACCAAACAAGUUAAAAAUUUGUAACCCACUCAUCCUCCUGUAUGCCCAGGAAAGCCACUAAACGAGCUCUUAGUACUGGUUUAGUAUUGAGGUGCUUUUAUAAAAAGUAUGUAUAAAAAAAAAGCUGAACUCAAAAAAGUGUUUGGUAAACACUUAAAAAAAAGCUUAUUUUCAUAGUUUUGGGUGAAAAAAGCUGAAAACAUGAAGCAGCAAAAAUCAGUUUAUUCUCAUAACACAGCAGAAGCAGUUUUUUUUUUCAAAGCAUAGCAAUACCAAACUAACCUUUAGUCUAAUAUCUUCUACUCUUCGUUGGCGAUGUGAAGAUUAAUACAUAAAGGGGUAAUCAUAUAAUUAAAGGGACCGACUCGUGUCUCCAAAUUUUUUACGUAAAAUUUGACACAAGUUUUAAGCCAUUAAAUUAUCCCACUAUCAAUAGUUGAGAUUUUAACCUUUGAUUUUUUUUUUAAAUAAAAACAUACAUUGGAAAAAAAAAUUGAAACCUUUUUUAAUUAAUUACUAGCAUAUGGGCACACACAAAGUGUGUGAGAAAAAAUUUUAUUUUUGUUUUUGAAAUAGAAGGAGAGAGGAAGAGAGUGAGAAAUUUUUUAAUUUUUUUUUAAAUUAGAGAUAUGUUAGGAUUACAUGUAGGUGAGGCUUUGAAAAAAAAAACAGUAAAAUUUGAUUGUGUGAAAUUGCAUUUCUGCCUUAUAUUUCUUAUUCAUGUUCUGUUUUAAUUAGAGGGUUAAACUAGUAAUUUAAUAGGAUUUUGGUUGACAAUGAGUGUUUUAUUAAGGCCAAAUUUUUUCCGUGAUCUUUGUGGUGAUACUCUACUUUUAAAUAGACCCUUAUGGUGAAAAAGCUAUUAAUUGUAAUCCUGUGGUGAAAUUUGUUAUCAAUCAUAGUCCAAAUUGAGUUUUUCCUCAUUCUUUUGUCAUUUAUAGGGGCAAACUUGUUAUUUUCAUUUUUAUUGAUUCCAUCAACCAAUCAUAAAGCGUCAUAUGGACAUAAAUUUUUUUAUUUUUAAAACUUUUAGAGCUACAAUAAAAGAAUAAAUAAACAAUAAAAUUACAAGGUUCAUAUUAUUAGACUUUCUCAUUUCAAGAGAGCCAAGAGUACAAAUUCAAGAUUUAAAAAAUCACAAAAUACCUCACCGCGUUUAGGUUAGAAUAUCAGUUAUUAUGCAAACAUUGAAUUUAGUUUCAUUUCAAGAACAGUGGUGGACGGGAUGGCUAGGGUUAUGUGAGAAAGAGGGGGGAAGGUGGUGGGUGGUCGAUGUGGCUAUGGCUGACAAGGGUAGGGAUUGGGGAGGGAUUUGUUCUUUUUUUUUCCUUCUAUUUUUGUUGAUUAUAAAAAAGUGAAAUUACCAAAAAGAAAAAAAAAUGGAAUGACCUUUUUGCCCCUGCAUGUGGAUGAGAUUUUGAUAGAAAUUUCAAUUUAGACUAUGAUUGAUAAUGUACUUCACCACAGGGUUAAGAUAAUGUUCUUCUUUUCCUUGGUGAACUUGGCUACUUUCCUAACCUAUGCUUUUUCACCUUGCCCGCAUACUGAAUUUUUAGAAUUUGCUAUUCGUAGGUUUUUGGCCAUAGUAUUCACUCUAUAUAUUUUUGCAGUUGGUAAACCAUGGUGUGAGCUCUUCCGUGUUGGAGAAAAUGAAGACAGAAACUCAAGAGUUCUUCAACCUACCCAUGGAAGAGAAGAAAAAGUUCUCGCAACAGCCAGGAGACAUUGAAGGUUAUGGACAAGCAUUUGUAGUUUCUGAAGACCAAAAACUCGAUUGGUCUGACAUGUUCUUCUUGACCACCCUUCCUGUCCAAUUGAGGAAGCCUCACCUACUCCCAAAGCUCCCUUCUCCUUUCAGGUCCUCACGCGAUCUCAAAUAUAUAUGUUUGUGUGUUAUUUUGUGCAAUAUGAAUGUGAAUGCAUGAAUAUAUUGAAGAGUAAUGUUGUUUAGUAAAAGAAAAAAAGUGACCUCAUUGCUGAUAAUCACGAUAUAUAGUGCUCCAUAUAAUGAGCAAAUAAUGUCAACAAAUGUUACUGCUAACUUUAAUUAUAAUGAGCAAAAAAUUAUUACACAUAUUAUUACCUUAAUUAUAUAUAAAUUAUUUGCACAUAUAUAGUGCUACAUAUACGUACAAAAAUAUUAUACCAAUUAGUUUACCUAUACAAAAUUAUAAUGAGCAAAUCAUUUAUUUUUAUAUGUAACUUAUUUUUUAUGUAUUAUUACAUAUAUUGAGCAAUAAUAAUAUGUAUUGUCAAAUAAUUAAUUUAUAUUUUUAUAAUUAUAGGUAAAUUAGUUUUUAAGCAAAUAACAAUUCUUUUAUUAUGUAGGUAAUUCAUUUUGCAUUAUUCAUUCUACAUAUGCUGGGCACAAUUUAUUAUCAUAAGAUAUAUGUACAAAUAAUAAGUAAAUUAAUAUUGAAUCAAAUAACAUUAAUUUAUUUUGUAGGUAAAUUAUUUUGCAUAUAUUGUAACAUAUUUUAGGCACAUUUUAUUAUUAUAAGAUAGAUGUACAAAUAAUUCACCUAUAUUUUUUCAAUGCAGAGAGACUUUAGAAACUUACUCAUCGGAACUGAAAAACCUAGCCAUGACUAUCCUAUCACAAAUGGAAAAAGCUUUGCAGAUGGAAGCCAAG
rnacentral:lncRNA from 1 species